GCCGCGAUGGUCCAAUGGUUAGAGCACUAGGCUCCGAUCCUCGUGGUCCCGAGUUCAAUUCUCCGUCGCGGCG
rnacentral:tRNA from 1 species